rnacentral:lncRNA from 1 species
CUAAAAGAAAAAUAAAAUCAUUUUUUGUUUAAUCUAUGCUUGCAUAAUGCACUUCUUCAUUUAUUCCAUGUACCAAUUGAAGAAAAAACUUUUAGUGCAUAUUAUUUUUUCCCUAACUUUAUGUUCAUAUAUGCCAUCUUAUAACAUAAUUAUUUUUUAUAUCUACCUAAACUCUUUUGCCUUAGUUAUUUUUUUAAGUUAUAAAAUCAAAUUAAAUCUUACAUGUUAUUGUGUAGUUACUAUGUGAAC